UAUGAUAUAGAUGGCUGGGGACCUCAUGCAUACUUUCAGAUGUUGGCAGAAUCUCGGAAUGGUUCUGAGUCUUAUAAUAACAUGAAUUGCCUUAAUGUGCGGCAAUCAGAGCUUCAGAGUGUAUAUAUUGAUUCUCAACAUCAGAAUGUCCUUAAUCGGGACACAAGCCCCAUUCUGGAGGGAGCAGAGGGUGAGAGGAGACAUUGACUUCAG
rnacentral:misc_RNA from 1 species